UCUCUUAAAUUGUCCGCUAGAUUGUGUCCAAUAAGAAACUUCACAGACCGUUGAUCUUAGCCAAUGGGAAGCCAGCAGGCAAAGGAUCCAUUACGAUAACAGCUCAGGAGCUGUCUGACAACAGAAUCAUCACUUUGACCCUGAGUGGGCGUAAACUGGAUAAGAAGGACUUCUUCGGGAAGUCAGACCCCUACCUGGAGUUUCACAAACAGGGAGAAGACGGCAAAUGGAUGCUGGUGCACAGGACAGAGGU